CCUACGGUGUGCAGCAGUGAGGAAUAUUGGGCAAUGGGCGCGAGCCUGAACCAGCCAAGUAGCGUGAAGGAUGACUGCCCUACGGGUUGUAAAAUUCUUUUAUAAAGGAAUAAAGUGAGGCACGUGUGCCUUUUUGUAUGUACUGUAUGAAUAAGGAUCGGCUAAAUCCGUGUCAGCAGCCGCGGUAAUACGGAGGAUCCGAGCGUUAGCCGGAUUUAUUGGGUUUAAAGGGAGCGUAGAUGGGUUGUUAAGUCAGUUGUGAAAGUUUGCGGCUCAACCGUAAAAUUGCAAUUGACACUGGCAGUCUUGAGUACAGUUGAGGUAGGCGGAAUUCGUGGUGUAGCGGUGAAAUGCUUAGAUAUCACGAAGAACUCCGAUUGCGAAGGCAGCUUACUAAACUGUCACUGACAUUGAUGCUCGAAAGUGUGGGUAUCAAACAGGAUUAGAUACCCUAGUAGUC
rnacentral:rRNA from 1 species